UGUGGAGUUCUUUAGAGAUUGCGUGGCCUGCAAGGUGAAGGACUCCAAUGUGAUCACUGCAGAAUCCACCAAAUUCCAAACCACUGGCAGUUCGAGUGCACAAACCCGCUUCUGGAGAGGAAGCAAGAGAAGCAAGCUGGGAGGAGGCCCAUUACUUGGCUGGAGAGCCGGUGGAUCACCUUCUCAGGUCUUCUGGAAGUUGCUGAAACAUGGUGAAGAAGGUGUCAUCACUCAUAGGAUGGAAUCCAGAAGCUCUUAGCAUGGACCUAUGCCUGAAAUAGUUCAGACUGAAGUCCUGGGACCCCAGCUCUGAGUUUGACUGCUCUUUCUCUGCCCUGUACUUCUCUUUUCUUGACUCAGGGAACUAUAAACAGGAACUGCUUUAAUGUGUUUAAUUUUGUCCCCAAAUUAGCCAUGUUUAUCAACAUGUUACUAGAAAUUUAGGAGAGUCCUACCUGAGUACAUGUCACCAGGGGAAUCCAGGGUCUGCUCAUGGAGCUCUUAAGUCCUGUGAAUAACAAAACAGUGUAAGAACGGACUCAAAAGAAGUUCAGGGACGUUUAUUAUUAGCAUUCGACACACAUGCACACAUGCACACACACACACACACACACACACACACACACACACACACACACACGAGAAGGCAAGCUGUAAGACUGUAAAUCUCAGCAGCUUCCCAGAGGUGGAAGAUGGAGGAGAGAAUGCAGCCAUGCAGCUUAAGCAUAGGCAACAUGAAGGGCAGCCAUAUGGCAGACAAACAGCCACAUGGGGGCAGGCUUUAGAGAGAGUGAAGGCCAACGUGUUCAAGAAAGCUGCUCUGGAAAGAGAGUGAGAGAAAAAGAAGUUAUGCUUUCUGAGUAGUUCAGAAAGGCAGGCACUCUCUCAAAGUUGCCUAGCUACAGUUUUAUGAAGAACUGCAUGAGAGUGUAGGAUUCUGGAGAGGAAAAGCACAUUAUCUCAUUAAAGGGAUAAUUGUUCCUCUUAUCUCUUUGAGAGUUAAAGUGGUCUUGCCUUCCCAAGGAAUGGUCCCGUAGCCUGGCGAUUGCCUAGCUGGGAUGUUGGGUAUCCACCCAAGCCACUUUCUGGAUCUGAAGGGAAUAGUGUUUCCUUACUUAGCCUCUUCUACCACUGUAACAAACAGAUUCUGUUCUUAGAGGUUCCCUGAAGUCAGGUCUUAGGGUAGACUGUAAAUGGGGCCAUAUUGUUGGCUAGCAUAGUUCUUACCUUUAGGUUAAAAAUUCACGUCCUUUCUGUCUUCUCAAGUUUGAAUUCAGAUGAUGGUAUACAGGACCCAUGUUGCUUAGCUACCAAAGACAUCAUUAACUGUGGCACUAGCUACAGUUAAAACACGGUCAACCAUGUGCUACACUUGGGGCCCCUGUGAGUUGUUUGAUACAAAUGUUGAACUACAAAGAAACACACACCUCACAUUUUGAGAGUUGGGUUCUCUCUGAUCCUGCAGCUAGAAUGGCAGACAAUGCUUUAAAUAUCAAAAGUGGCUUCCAGAUACUUUGAAUCUUUGGGGCAAGUUUGGGUGGUUUUGCAAUGCUGUUUUCUAAGGUCAAGCAGGAACAGGAAAUCAACGACCUUACCAACUGCUUUGUUCAGGCAUCUGUGGACCUGCCUACUUGGGAAGAGCCAAGGAAAGGGCAUGCUUCUGCAGUGGGGUUUGCAAGUGGGGACAUUUCUGUGUCUGUCCUGUAACUAUGUCUGCCUUACAAUAAAAUACCUUGGUUGACUCAGCAAUAAAGCCUCUGUUGAAUUCCUA